UUGUUUUACAGUAAACCACAGGACUUUGGAGAUUUCAGUUGUGGUAUGCAGGACUAGAUAACCUAAAGGAUCAUCAUGCUAUAUACAACCAAGAUCUUAGAUAAUGAAUUUCAAGAGCUGCCCCGGAUGCUGAACCAGUCAAAAGGGAAGGCCUGGAGCUCACUGUAGAGUCCCUGGUGAACACCUAUCAGGAAGCUGAGAGGUCUGCACCACAAGGCUGAAGAGUGCACUGCAAACCUUGAGGUGGACAUACAAGGUGAUAGAGAAGCAGAAGCUUCUCUGAAGAAACAGAAUCACAGGUGGAUGAAUGUAUGGUGGCGAGCAGUUCCUGAACCUGAGAGGUGCUUGUGCACAGCCACAGCUUUUACACGCCAAUAGAGACAUUUUUUGCCAGCAUUGUAACCAUUUCACCAUCUUCUGACCUUCCAAGGAUUACAUGGGUUUUGGAGCUCAAUCAAGUGGAAUAAUUCUGAGUCAGUUUACUGGAAGAAUCAGUCCACGGGAUCGUAAAUGAUUAUGAAGAUGAAAUCCAAACUACGUCUUCUGAAAUGACAUGUUCAAUUUAUCUAUAGGCCACUGGUGAAGUGCCUGGAAUCAGUGGAUUAUGGUGUCUAAAAUAGAUGUUAUCUUUUGUCCAACAACUCAUCUAAAUUUCUUUGGGAAAAAAAAUAAAUCCCUGUUUUGGCCUGGAUUCUUCCCAGAAGGCAGAACAUGAGAUAAGAGUCUGAAUGAAGUAAGCUCUCAGGAAGAAGGGAGGGAGUUAGGGAACAGAAACAAAGUAGAAAGGAAGGGAAGAUCUCUUAAGGGUGUGUUCCUAAAUUGGUUACCUGCACUGAAGGCAGUAAAUGCACAGAGAACAUGUCUCAGAAAGUUUGCCUCAGGGGCACACGAGAACACCAUCCCUUGGCUCCCACAUCCCAUGGAUCAAGAGUGGCUCCACUGGAUAUGAACAUGGUUGCAUGGUCAGGUUUUAUGGCAGGAAUUUUCCUAACAAUAUUUCCUCCCAAGGUACCACAAAAACCUCAGAGGUAAAGGAGGGAGAUUGAUGCAGGCAAAGUAGUCUCAAAUUGUAAGUGAAUGAAAUUAGCUACUUCCGUCAUCACUGUUGUAAAAGAAGAGGUGAGAUGGGGGAUGAGGAGACACACAGUAGAUCGUGAUGCCACCCUUCAUUCCUUCACCAAAUCUGGCUUUGGAAUGGGCAUGCGGCCCACAGCACUCUCUUCCAGGUGGACCUGUUUAUUCUAUCCACAAAGGUACAUGACCAGUUGGAUAAACCCUACUUGGACUACUAAGGUGGGGAACAGAGAGACUUGGGUUUCCAGUGGCUUUCUUAUGUGACCAUAAAUAUUUGGCUUUGUGAUGCAGGCAAGCAACAACAGACACAAGCAGAACUAUGACAUCCCAGUUCCUAUAGCCCCGCCUUUGAUAUUUAGAGCUGCUCUUACUGCAUUCUUGCCAUGAGAACCAACACAUUCCAACUGCAAAUCUGUUGCAUGUUUAAAUUAAAUUGGGUUGGUUUUUGGAUGCUUUCAAUGGAGUAGUCACCAGAAGAGACCGGGGAUGAUAUAGGAGAUAUUUCUCUCUCUCUCUCUCUCUCUCUAUCUCUCUCUCUCUCUCUCUCUCUCUCUCUCUCACAAAUGUGGGUCUUUACUAUUUUAUUAUUGAAAAAUUUCCUGCACACUACCAUCAUCCUUUCCAUCUCCAUUUCCCAGGGCCAACUUUCAGUUUUUCCAAGUUAUUUUUUAAAUUUACCUCCAUGUUUUAAAGAAUAUGCACAUGCUUUAAUUCUUGAUCUAUCAUUUCAAGCUCAUGGUAAUUCACCGAUAUUCUGUGAUCUUUUGCUGUGACUUGACAUUUUUCUCUCUGGAAGAUUUUAUGUUCCUCCCUUUGAACCCUGGGUUCUGAGAUUUCCUGUUCAUUUACUUUAGUGUGGUUCUAUUGCAUCCAUUGUCCUGAAUGGUGAAUAAGUCUUUGAAAUUCGGAAUCUCUAACUUAAAUCUCAUGCUCUUUAUUUCUUUAGAGGGAAUUAGAAACUGAAGUUUUUGGAAAGUUCCUCCUCAUAGUCCAGCUUUCUGUCUUUUAAAAAUUUUGUACUAAUUCUGAGAAAUUUUCACAAUUCUGUUAACCAAGUCCUUCUAAGAUUUUAUUUCUCCUACAUUAUUUUUAAUAACUAAGAGCUUUUUUUUUCAGUUAUUUCAACAUCUCUUCU